GACAGAGGUGCCAAGCGUUAGGCGGAAUCACUGGGCUUAAAGCGUGUGUAGGCGGAAUGGUAAGUACCUUGUGAAAUCCCACAGCUCAACUGUGGAACUGCUCGGUAUACUGCUUUUCUUGAGCCACUUAGGGGCUGUCGGAACAAACGGUGGAGCGGUGAAAUGCGUAGAUAUGUCGGAGGAACACCGAUGGACGAAGGCAAUCCCCGUGGGCCUGCACUGACGCUCAUGCACGAAAGACCGGUGGGGAGCAAACAGG
rnacentral:rRNA from 1 species